UGAGGAAUAUUGGGCAAUGCCCGCAAGGGUGACCCAGCAACGCCGCGUGGAGGAUGAAUGUCGUAAGAUUGUAAACUCCUGUUAGAGGGGAAGAAUAGUACCGGUUGGACCGGUAUAUGACUGUACCCUCAGAGAAAGCCCCGGCUAACUACGUGCCAGCAGCCGCGGUAAUACGUAGGGGGCAAGCGUUGUCCGGAUUUACUGGGUGUAAAGGGCGCGCAGGCGGGAUAAAAAGUCAGUGGUGAAAUCCUACAGCUUAACUGUAGAACUGCCUUUGAUACUUUUAUUCUUGAAUUCGGGAGAGAGAGACGGAAUUCCAGGUGUAGUGGUGAAAUACGUAGAUAUCUGGAAGAACACCAGUUGCGAAGGCGGUCUCUUGGUCCGACACUGACGCUGAGGCGCGAAAGCGUGGGGAGCAAACA
rnacentral:rRNA from 1 species